rnacentral:tRNA from 1 species
GAGAGUAUAGCUCAGUGGUAGAGUGCAUGCUUAGCAUGCAUGAGGUGCUGGGUUCAAUCCCCAGUACCUUCC